rnacentral:piRNA from 1 species
UGCAACACAUCGCAUGGUCUUGCCCUGUUUU